rnacentral:rRNA from 1 species
CCUACGGUGCGCUGCAGUGGGGAAUAUUGGACAAUGGGCGAAAGCCUGAUCCAGCCAUGCCGCGUGUGUGAAGAAGGCCUUCGGGUUGUAAAGCACUUUCAGUGGGGAAGAAAGCCUUGGGGCUAAUACCCUCGAGGAAGGACAUCACCCACAGAAGAAGCACCGGCUAACUCCGUGCCAGCAGCCGCGGUAAUACGGAGGGUGCGAGCGUUAAUCGGAAUUACUGGGCGUAAAGCGCGCGUAGGCGGUCUGAUAAGCCGGUUGUGAAAGCCCCGGGCUCAACCUGGGAACGGCAUCCGGAACUGUCAGGCUAGAGUGCAGGAGAGGAAGGUAGAAUUCCCGGUGUAGCGGUGAAAUGCGUAGAGAUCGGGAGGAAUACCAGUGGCGAAGGCGGCCUUCUGGACUGACACUGACGCUGAGGUGCGAAAGCGUGGGUAGCAAACAGGAUUAGAUACCCCGGUAGUC